GUCUAAUAGUUCAAUGUUAUACAGGAUGAUUAAUUAAGCAUGCGCACCCCAUUUUUAAAAUUCAAUUUUGCAUGUAUUAAAAUUUUUAAUUUUUGGAAUUAUUAAAUGUAGUUAAAGCCGAUAUUUUCGAAUCCAUAGAUUUUCCACAACAUCCUGUGGUGAUACCAAUUUUGGUUUUUCGUAUGAGAAUCUACAAGUUUUAAUGUAAAUUGUAAAAAAAGAUAAUUUUUCUGAAAAUUCUGAUGAAUCGUAAUUGAUAUUCGUAUGAAAAGUUUCCGAGUUAUUCUACUUUACUAAAAUACUAAGGAUAACAGUUUAAAAAGCAUAAUUUAUGUAGCGGCACGACGAGCGGCGUUUUCAUAGUGUUCCACUAAACUCUCUCUCUCUAUAACUAAAAAACGGAAUCUCAUCAACAGGUUGACAGAAAUCAAAAAUGUCAACACCAUUAUUAUUUAA